GACGAACGCUGGCGGCGUGCUUAAAACAUGCAAGUCGAACGGACUUCUCAUGAAGCUUGCGAUUGAGAAGUUAGUGGCGGACGGGUGAGUAACGCGUGGGCAACCUGCCCCUGAGCCCGGGAUAACAGUUCGAAAGGACUGCUAAGACCGGAUAUACUUGCGGGGAAGCAUUUCACUGCAAGGAAAGGGAACGCUCAGGGGAUGGGCCCGCGUCCCAUUAGCUAGUUGGUGAGGUAACGGCCCACCAAGGCGACGAUGGGUAGCCGGCCUGAGAGGGUGAACGGCCACACUGGGACUGGGACACGGCCCAGACUCCUACGGGAGGCAGCAGUUGGGAAUCUUCGGCAAUGGGCGCAAGCCUGACCGAGCAACGCCGCGUGAGUGAUGAAGGUUUUCGGAUUGUAAAGCUCUGUCUUCCGGGACGAUAAUGACGGUACCGGAGGAGGAAGCCACGGCUAACUACGUGCCAGCAGCCGCGGUAAGAGUGUGUGUA
rnacentral:rRNA from 1 species